GACAGAGGGUGCAAACGUUGUUCGGAAUUACUGGGCGUAAAGCGCGUGUAGGCUGCUUCGCAAGUCGGAUGUGAAAGCCCUGGGCUCAACCCAGGAAGUGCAUUCGAAACUGCAGAGCUGGAGUCCUGGAGAGGAAGGCGGAAUUCUCGGUGUAGAGGUGAAAUGCUUAGAUAUCGUCAAGAACACCUAUAGCGAAGGCAGCUUACUAGGCUGUAACUGACGCUGAGGCACGAAAGUGUGGGGAUCAAACAGG
rnacentral:rRNA from 1 species